rnacentral:rRNA from 1 species
CAAAAACAUCGCUAAAUGUUUUAGAUAUUUAGUUGUUUCUGCUCAAUGGUUUAACUAAAUAGCCGCAGUACCCUGACUGUGCAAAGGUAGCAUAAUCAUUUGGCUUAUAAUUGAAGUCUGGCAUGAAUGAAUUAACGGGUAACCACUGUCUUUUAAGGUAACUUUGAAAUUACUUAGUAGGUGAAAAUUCCUACAGAUAAAUAAUAGACGAGAAGACCCUAGAAAUUUUGUAUAACUUAAUAUGUAUAUUACUAUUAUUUUGUUGGGGCGACAGAAUAACAUAUAACUUAUUUUAUUUAAUUGGAACUAAGUAGUGUGAGAAAUUAAAUUACUCUAGGGAUAACAGCAUAAUUUAUUAAAGUUUGUGACCUCGAUGUUGGACUAGGGAUUGUAUAGUUUAGAAGACACUACAACAGGCUCUGUUCGAGCCCUAACCCCUACGUGAUCU